rnacentral:rRNA from 1 species
GUCGUCAGAUUGAACGCUGGCGGCGUGCUUAACACAUGCAAGUCGCGCGUGAAGGACUUCGGUCCGAGUAAAGCGGCGCACGGGUGAGUAACGCGUGGAUGAUCUACCCAUGAGUUAGGAAUAACGGCUGGAAACGGUCGCUAAUACCAAAUACGCUCCGAUUUCAACUUCGGGGGAAAGGUGGCCUCUGCUUGCAAGCUACUGCUCAUGGAUGAGUCCGCGUCCCAUUAGCUAGUUGGUGGGGUAACGGCCCACCAAGGCGACGAUGGGUAGCCGGUCUGAGAGGAUGACCGGCCACACUGGGACUGGAACACGGCCCAGGCUCCUACGGGAGGCAGCAGUGGGGAAUAUUGCGCAAUGGACGAAAGCCUGACGCAGCGACGCCGCGUGAGGGAUGAAAGGUCCUCGGAUCGUAAACCUCUGUCAGGAGGGAAGAACCGCCACGGUGCUAAUCAGCCGUGGUCUGACGGUACCUCCAAAGGAAGCACCGGCUAACUCCGUGCCAGCAGCAGC